rnacentral:lncRNA from 1 species
CGUGUGGAGGACGAUGGCAGCGAGGGGCCAUCUCUAAGCUGUGCCUACCAGCCAUUGGGAGCACCAGCAUGACAGAUGCCAUUACAGGUCGUGAGGCAUCCCUUGAGGGAGCAGCCUGGUCUCUGAUGCCCCAGGACCUCCCUGGCCCUCCUGCUCUGCGCUCCUUCCUGGGAGGAGAAAUAAGCUCUUGUUGGGUUGAAGUCACUUGUCCCUCAGGGUUUUGCUGCUGUUACUUCCAGCUAAACCUACUCCCAGCUAAUAUUUACAACCAGAGCUGUUUCCAUCACACCAAACUGGAAGAAAUAUGUCUGUGAAGGGAAAGCAUGACCCACACUGAUGGGAGGGAGACCCCAGGCUCCCUGUGGAAGCAAGAAAUGGAAAGAGAAUUCAAUUCUUAGUAGCUACAGGCCAAGCUCACCUUCAGUCCUCCCUAAAGUGAAAAUUUUAUAUGUGCAUGUGUGUGUAUCUGUUUGUGUCUGCACACAUAUAUAAAGAGGUCAGUUCCUGUCCAAAUAAAAAGGGAAAAUAUGUGGAUUGAGAGGGGAUUAUUUAAGAGCCCAUUCUCUGCAGAAUGUUGUUUAUAGCGCAGUUCUGACCUACCUUAGACUGGACAUUAUUAAAGAUAACUGUGUUUGUGGGAAGAUGGGCUUCUGCCCCCUCCUUUUCAUUUAAAGAGAAUGACUUUUUUUUUUUUCUUUAAACACUGGAACUGUUGUCAUGCUAAUCAGGCAGGGAACAUUUCCAAUUCAAUUUUACCUGGGCCUGGUCAGCUGAGUUCCCCUUUGUUGGCCGUCUCUGGGGACCUCCCUUGUCUUUUAAACUGUAAUUUACUUGAGCUGCCAUCAAUUUCCUCUGCUCAUUACAUUUGUGGCGAUGUCACUGAUAUGCAAUCUGUGGAUGCUCCCGGAACCGAGGGGGAAUGGCCGCAUGAACCCAGAAUGAAGGCGGAGCAGGCUGGCCCUCCGCCGGCCCCCAGAAUAAACCGCCCUGGCCACAUGCUCCACUGCCUGUCCAGAAUCCUUGGCCUCAGGCUUGGUUUGCAUUGAAUCUGGGAAUAGAAGCUUUUGCUUCACAGAGGUCUGUCAAGGGGCACCCGGCUCCUUGUCAAUUAGUGAUUUCCAGGAGGUGGACUGGCCCUGGUGCUGGCCCCCGUCCCCUGUUCACUCUCAUCCAGCCUGGGAGGAAUGAGAUUCAGCCAUUUUAAGGGUUUUAUGAUUAAUUUUGAUUGCAGUCACCAGUGACUGUGGAUGUAGGCUGACGGAGCAGGUGUCAGUGAUGCCCCCAUGGCGUGAAGCUGGGCCUCGAGCAGUUGUCUGGUAACAUGAGGCCACUGGGAACAGUUCCUGGUGCAGGAGGUAGUGAUGCUGCCAUCACCCCAAACGCCGUCCUCCGAGUAGCCCCUGACGUGACCCUGCGGGAGGUGUCAGCUGCGUGCCCCUGAGGCCCUGCACCCUCCACAUUCUGGGCUGGCUCUCCAGAUUCCUCCAGGCACCAGGGUGGCUUCCUGCAGGGAGGGUGGCGCGUUUCCUUUCCUGUCACCGACAACCCUGAGCUCCCGCCCUCCUCUCCCUUCUGUUUUCCUCUUCGCUCUUUCUUCCACACGUGUGGUCUCCAUUCUUUUUCCUUUCUCUCCUGCUCUUGCUCUCCAGUCCCUCCUAGAGUUAUUGUUGACAAAAGCCUGGUCCCCGUUAGUGUUUAAUGGUGAGAAGGGGUCAAUGCACUUACAAGCAGCAGCUCCAAACUUCAUAUACCCUGAAAAUAUCCUGACAUAUGGCCCUGUUCUCAGGGGCAGGCAUGUUGGCUUCAAAUAUUUCUGAUGUGCUCCUGAAGAUGCUCCUGUUACAUUCUUCCCGGAGUCAAAUAACAGAGUUGUCAAUUUACCCAUUCACUGCUGCCAGAUACAUGCAAAUGGAUGGGAUCAAUAUUCCACGUUAACCGUGCACCUGGGGGGCUCACCCCAUCAAAGAGGCUGUGAUGGGUCAGCAGCAGGCUGAGCACAGCAUGGACCUGGACCCACCCCGGGUCCCAGUUGGCCCGCUUCCCUUGGCAGGAGGGCCCGGACACUCACAUCUUGUCACAACCAGUGCUGAUGGGUUUUCUCCCCACUUGAGUGCUUUUGGCAUGGGAUGAUGAAGCCCCUAAGGUCAGGUAUUUCAUUUCUUCUUGUCCCUGGUGGCAAAGGACAUGCAGACUGGGUGAGGUUGAUACUGUUUUCUUGGUCUGAGGACAUCCUCUUAAUAAGUACACCUGUGGAUUUUUGCCUAAGGGUGCAUUUUCUAAAUGCUUACCUGCCCAGCUCAGUUGACACUCAGACGGACCAGGUGGGUGAGCUGGUGACUUUGUCAUUCACGUGCUCAUGGCUGCCUGUGGCUGAGUUUCCCUCCCUCCAACCUGGAGCUCUGAAGCUGAAGCAUCUCUGCCUGGCAAUUUCCUGUCUGGGCAUUGUGUAGGAGGCGCUUCCUAGAACAGGGUGGGCAGAAGGGCUUGGAAACAGGAGUGGCUCGGUCAACCGUGGACUAGAAAAAGCUGCAUUUCCUGCAGUGGGGCUUGAUAUUGUGUAGGGGCUAUGGGAUGGUGGAGAGGGCGUGAGUCUGUGAGCAGAAGGCGGGGGACCUCCAGCUUUGCUCUCCACAGCUGUGUGAGCCUGCAGGGGCACUACCUUCUCUGGACCUCUGUUCUUUACAUGGAAAACGAAUGUUGUGAUAUCAAAUGAAUAAUGAAUGUGAAGGCGUGGGCACAGCUCCAAAAGCAAUCCAGGGCUGGCCCUUCUUAUGUAGAACACACAGGGCCCCGAUAUCUCACCGCGUAUUUAGUGUGUAGCAUGUUAACUGGACUUAAGUAUUACUUAUUUUGCAAGGAAAGUGUGCCCAUGGCUUGGUCAAAAUUCAGGCUGUGAGGCCUCCAUCCAAGUUAAAAGACAGCCAAACACUCAGGGCUCCAUCCAAGUCCCUCCUAAUAACAUAAUGAAAUAGAUGGUAAGGAAUUAUGUUUAUUUAAUCGGUGUGUUGGUGGGGAGCAGUGCCAUGUCACGACAGCUGCUUUUGAAUCAUCGAUCUUCGCCGAGGACACCACACAUUUGUUGCCAGUCAGCAAGGUGUGGCCUACAAGCAUCUUUCAAAAUAUUCAAAACAUUUCAAACCAGCCGGAAAGGUGAGAAAGUGGUCCCUUUGGGAAUCCAUUCCUAGCAUGAAUGCUUUCCUUCCAUGCACGCUCAGAUGGACACUCGCAGAACAGAUCCAGGCUCAGUAUCAGCCUCUGCUGGUCCCUUCUUGCUGCCCACAUUAGCAGAGCCCAUCUGCGUUCCUGGCGUGGACUUGGCCACCCAGCGGGGGCGGUGUCCCAUGACUCUGUACAUCCAUAAGGGACAUGGCAUGGUGUGCAGCCAGUGACAGAAAGGACAAGCUUAGAGGUCAGAAGGAGCCCCAAGGUCACAGCACGACUACAGUGGU